rnacentral:rRNA from 1 species
CGCAUCUGUGCAUGCAGCAUAUCAAUAAGCGGAGGAAAAGAAACUAACAAGGAUUCCCUUAGUAACGGCGAGUGAAGCGGGAAGAGCUCAAAUUUGAAAUCUUCAAGGUUUUACCUUGACGAAUUGCAGUUUAAAGAAGUGUUUUCUGCUGAAGUUUUGGUAAAAGUUCUUUGGAAUAGGACAUCAUAGAGGGUGAGAAUCCCGUAUUUGACCAUUUACUUUCAGCUUUGUGAUACACUUUCAAAGAGUCGGAUUGUUUGGGAAUGCAGUCCAAAAUGGGUGGUAAAUUUCAUCUAAAGCUAAAUAUUGGCGAGAGACCGAUAGCGAACAAGUACCGUGAGGGAAAGAUGAAAAGAACUUUGAAAAGAGAGUUAAACAGUACGUGAAAUUGUCAAAAGGGAAGCGUUUGACACCAGUGUUGUUUUCUCGAAAAUCAAUUAAAAAUGAGUUAGAUUUUGUAUUGUGUAUUGACCUUAACAGCUUGCACUGUACAUUUUCGUGUCUUUUCUUUAAUGCACUUUUCGUUUAACAAGUCAACAUCAGUUUCUUUUGUUGUAAAAGGGUCAUUGGAAGGUGGCUUUCUUUUCGGAGAAAGUGUUUAUAGCCUUUGGCCUCUGCAAUCGAAGAGACUGAGGUCUGCAGCGUAGACUCUUCGGGGUUAGAUACAUUUGUGCUAAGUUAUAGCUUUUUAUAGACAACUUGUUGACUAUAAUUAGUCUUGUAGCUUACUCGCUUAUGCUAUUUUACCUACGCUUAGGAUGUUGAUAGUCACAGCGUGUAC